CCCUUAGAUGUUCUGGGCCGCACGCGCGCUACACUGAUGCAUUCAACGAGCCUAUCCUUGACCGACAGGUCCGGGUAAUCUUUGAAUCUGCAUCGUGACAGGGAUAGAUUAUUGCAAUUAUUAAUCUUCAACGAGGAAUGCCUAGUAGGCGCAAGUCAUCAGCUUGCGUCGAUUACGUCCCUGCCCUUUGUACACACCGCCCGUCGCUCCUACCGAUUGGGUGUGCUGGUGAAAUGUUCGGAUCGGCCGUUUGUCGCGGUUUCCGCGUCAUGUGGCUGAGAAGUUCAUUAAACCCUCCCACCUAGAGGAAGGAGAAGUCGUAACA
rnacentral:rRNA from 1 species